rnacentral:rRNA from 1 species
AUUGAACGCUGGCGGCAUGCCUUACACAUGCAAGUCGAACGGUAACGGGCCUUCGGGUGCCGACGAGUGGCGAACGGGUGAGUAAUGUAUCGGAACGUACCUUUCAGUGGGGGAUAACGUAGCGAAAGUUACGCUAAUACCGCAUAUUCUGUGAGCAGGAAAGCAGGGGAUCGCAAGACCUUGCGCUGAUUGAGCGGCCGAUAUCAGAUUAGCUAGUUGGUGAGGUUAAAGGCUCACCAAGGCGACGAUCUGUAGCGGGUCUGAGAGGAUGAUCCGCCACACUGGAACUGAGACACGGUCCAGACUCCUACGGGAGGCAGCAGUGGGGAAUUUUGGACAAAUGGGGGGCAACCCUGAUCCAGCCAUGCCGCGUGAGUGAAGAAGGCC